GCAGGUCGUGCUGCAGCCGGUCCGGUUGAUCGGGCCUGCGGUGCUCGUGGUCGGGCGGAACCGGCUGUUCAGCCCGGUCGACCGGCA
rnacentral:tRNA from 2 species